GACGAACGCUGGCGGUGUGCUUAACACAUGCAAGUGGUGCGACGAACCAGAGCUUGCUCUGGGGCAAAGCCGCGAACGGGUGAGUAACACGUGGGUAAUCUACCCCGAUGACCGGGACAACCCGAGUAAACUCGGGCUAAUACCGGAUGUGGUGCGGAGACAUAAGUCUCUUCACUAAAGGUAGCUUCGGCUUCCGCAUUGGGAGGGGCCCGCGGCCCAUUAGCUUGUUGGUGGGGUCAAGGCCUACCAAGGCAACGAUGGGUAGCUGGUCUGCGAGGACGAUCAGCCACACUGGGACUGAGACACGGCCCAGACUCCUACGGGAGGCAGCAGUGGGGAAUCUUGCGCAAUGCGCGAAAGCGUGACGCAGCAACACCGCGUGAGGGAAGAAGGCCUUAGGGUUGUAAAACUCUUUCAGAUGGGACGAAGGUACUCCGGUGAAUAGCCGAGAGGAUUGACGGUACCGUCAGAAGAAGCUCCGGCUAACUACGUG
rnacentral:rRNA from 1 species